GAGAGAGAAAGUGUGUGUGUGCAUGUGUGUGUGCAUGUGUGUGUGUGUGUGUGUGUGUGUGUGUGGACUUGAGAUGUCCCACCAUGCCUUGAGGUGGCAUCGCAACCU